rnacentral:misc_RNA from 1 species
AACCAUUCUCACCUGCGGCUAGACCUGCGGAAGGAUCAUUACCUAGAGUUUGUAGACUUCGGUCUGCUACCUCUUACCCAUGUCUUUUGAGUACCUUCGUUUCCUCGGCGGGUCCGCCCGCCGAUUGGACAACAUUCAAACCCUUUGCAGUUGCAAUCAGCGUCUGAAAAAACAUAAUAGUUACAACUUUCAACAAUGGAUCU